rnacentral:tRNA from 1 species
GUUUAGAUAGCUUAAAUUAUAAAGUUUUGCAUUGAAAAUGCUUUGAUGGGGUUACCUCUAGACA